rnacentral:misc_RNA from 1 species
GAAAUGCGAUAAGUAGUGUGAAUUGCAGAAUUCAGUGAAUCAUCGAAUCUUUGAACGCACAUUGCGCCCUAUGGUAUUCCGUAGGGCAUGCCUAUUCGAGCGUCACUUACACCUUCAAGCCUUGCUUGGUGUUGGGUGACUGUGGCCCCUUUGGGGCCACUCGCCUUAAAGUCAUUGGCGGCCGGUUCGUUGGCUUUGUAGCGCAGCACAAUUGCGUCCUCGAAGCCGCUGGACCAGCUCCCAGAAGCUAAUUUUAAAUGUUUGACCUCGAAUCAGGUAGGGAUACCCGCUGAACUUAAGC